GCUCUGGUGGUGGAAUUGGUAGACACGCAGGACUUAAAAUCCUGUGACCGAUGAGGUCGUGCGGGUUCAACUCCCGCCCGGAGUA
rnacentral:tRNA from 1 species